rnacentral:rRNA from 1 species
AUCAUUAUUGAAUAAGCUUGGUUGGGUUGUUGCUGGCUCUUAGGGGCAUGUGCACGCCUAACACCAACUUUCUUACCACCUGUGCACUUUUUGUAGACGUUGGAAAAAACAAUACCUCUCGGAUUGAGUGAGGACUGUCGUGCGCAAGCCGGCUUUCCUUGCAUUUUCCAGUCUAUGUUUUUAUAAUACACACCUAUAGUAUGUUUCAGAAUGUCAUUUAACGGGCUUAAUUGCCUUUUAAUCCUAUACAACUUUCAACAACGGAUCUCUUGGCUCUCGCAUCGAUGAAGAACGCAGCGAAAUGCGAUAAGUAAUGUGAAUUGCAGAAUUCAGUGAAUCAUCGAAUCUUUGAACGCACCUUGCGCUCCUUGGUAUUCCGAGGAGCAUGCCUGUUUGAGUGUCAUGAAAUUCUCAACCUUUUCAAUCUUUUAUUGGUUGAAUUAGGCUUGGAUGUGGGAGACUUUUGCUGGCUUCUUUUNGAAGAGGUCAGCUCUCCUUAAAUUUAUUAGCGGGACCUUUGUUGCCCCCUCAGCCGUUAGUGUGAUAAUUAUCUACGCUAUUUGCUGAACGCAACUCCAAAAUGGGGGUUUACAGCUUCUAAUCGUCUUUUGUAGACAAUUUAUAUGACAAUUUGACCUCAAAUCAGGUAGGACUACCCGCUGAACUUAAGCAUAUCA